UCUGCUUCUUCCACAAAUUGUAUCAUUGUUGUGGUCUCGUUCUUUGCUGUCAUGCGUGCUCUGUGUAAAUGGUUUUUUUUGCUCGCUGGCAAUGGGGGUUUUGUUGGGCAAAUCGCGUGUUAAUACUUGCGGCUUCNGACAACCACCGUUCAUCNGAAUCGGAGGCAACUCCGUUAGCUGAUGAUGAUGGGGUGGGGCAAACGGAGUGAAGCAUCUCCAGCUCGUUGAGUCAGGCGCGAUUGGUGGUGAAGUAAGGGUUCUCUUCAUUUUUGGCUCGCAGCGACUCCGAUAACCUAUGGCAAGAUGCAACCGACGUCUAUCUUCUUCCUCGACACCGGUGAAGACGAUGACUCCGGCGAGGCUCGCGGUGGACAGUUCUGGUGGAAGUGACGGGAACGGUGAGGUCUCAAAGUUGAGCUUCCGUUAGCACGAAGGGAAGAGAGGAAAUGGCUGGCCACGAUUCCGGUGGAGUCGGCCGUCGCAGGUGAUGGUUGCGGUGGUGUCUGGUCGGAAGAACUUGGUGGCAGAUGGUGUUCNGAGGCAUGCGUGAGAGAGAGGCGUGAAGCCUCUGGAGCGGUGGAAUGCAGAAUGAGAGGAUNGGUUUCGAACCCCUUUAGAAUUCUAGGUUAAGUUGGAGUCUUGGGCUUGGGUGUCUNGGCUCGCAGCUUUUUUUUUUCUUCCGCACCCCCUUUUGCUACCAUUCGUAGUCUCUUUCUGCUUGGGCUCAAAACUUAGCCUGUCAGCCCCAAAAAACGUUUUUUUUGCACCUUUAUUUUUGUUAAGUUGCACCUCUUUCGGAUUGGGCUUAGGCCCAGUUUGCGUUUGGAAGCCAUUUAAGUUAGGCACCCCUUUUUCUUAUUUAGGCACCCCUACCCCUUAUAUUGUUUUAUUAUUUUUAUUUUAUUUUUGUAUUUAACUUUUAAUGUAUUUAUUUUUUACUUUUUAUUUUAUUUAGUUAUUUACUUAUUUGUUUUUUUCCCUUUUCUUUUAAAAAAUUCAAAAUCAAUAAAAAUAUUUUUGAAAAGGUUUAAGCACACGUGCGACCGCUCGCGUAGGCCUUGUGCUGAAAACCUUUUCCCUUUUCUUUUAAAAAUUAAAAAUUAAAUAAAAAUAUUUUGAAAGGGUUCAAGCACACGUGCGACCGCUC
rnacentral:lncRNA from 1 species